UAGGUGAGUAGUGUAAUGGUAUCACAACGGACUCCAAAUCCGUUAAUGAGGGUUCGACUCCUUCCUUGCCUGU
rnacentral:tRNA from 1 species